UAUAAACACUAGUCAUAAUUCAUUGUUGUUACUUUUACUACUUUAUUAUUAUUGAGAUAGUGCUCAAUUUUUAUCAGUGUUAUUUAGAAGUUGGAGAAACUUCUCCUUGACUCUGAAUGCAAGCCACCUCCAAUUAUAGCAGGCUUAUUUUUUUUUUUCUUUAGGAAAAGAACAUGUUCUUUUGGGUAGAGAUGUGAAAGGGGGUCUACUUUCUGAACCAUGCAGCAAAUUAAUUCAACUACCAAUAAGCUAUGGCCUCUGUGAAGAUAACAAUUCAGAAAAUUUCUUGGCUUUCAGUGGGUCCUGUAUCCUAUCUCUGGCAUCAAGAUCAGCAUCAUAUAUCCGAUAUGAAAUUCUGAAGAAGAAACAGAAUUUUAUCAAGAAGAAAACAGUGGCAUCUAUGUGUUCUUCCCUUUGUUCCUUUUGUUAUAUAUGAAGGGAUGAUGGAUAGGUAGGGAAAUUUUUGACCAGAAGACUUAAGAAUUCAAUAGGGGACAUCUUGUCCCUAAAAAUAAACAUAUAAGUAAAUCAAUGUAUUAUUUUCCC
rnacentral:lncRNA from 1 species